GCAUGUUACAAAUAUCCAUCACAAAGGCCCUGUGAGCCAUAACAAGCACAUUAUUUUCGCAGAACGUCAUGCUUUUGUGAAUUUGAAUUGUCCUCCUGCUUGUGAAUGCUUGUAUUGUCUGCCUGCAUCAUUCCAGAUACUCUGGAAGAACCUUAAACUGGCUUUAAAAGAGAGAAUGCAGAGAUCAGAAGAGAGCGAUUAACUACUGGUGGUGGACCACCAAAAAAAGACAUGACUGAUGAAUUGAGCGACUUGCUGUCUGGAGUAAUAGAGCACCAGCAACCUCUGGAUGGUAUACCAGAUGAUGACCAACCUCUGGAUGGUAUACCAGAUGAUGACCAACCUCUGGAUGGUAUACCAGACGAUGACUAUUUGGACAGUUCAGAUGAAGAACUGAGCACAAAUGGUACAUAUACGAAAGAAAGUAAAUUGGUUACUUCCUUGGGUUAAUAUAUUCCCCUGUCUGUGUCAAUCUUGAUUCUUCUUUCAUUCUAAGGAUCAUAUGAGUUUAUUUGUGCUUCUAACAGUGUUCUUUUUCCAGAGGAAAGCAAUCUGAACAGGUUGGAAGAGCCAGUGCAGUGAGUGUGUACCCUCCAACCAUGUGUAUGUGACAAAUACAUUUGAUUUGAUUUGAUCUGCUAUAGCAUCCCUGAGAGAAGAUGCUGCCACCACCUUUCAGCAGAGAACAAAAAAGAUGACCAUGCAUUAAAAGUUAACCAGAGAAUUUCAUGAGCAUGAAAUGAAAUAUCUGAAGGAAGAACAUGAAAUGAAAAUAAGAAUUCUACAGGUUGUAUUGGAUAUGAAGUUGGAAGAGAAAAAAAAGAUACAGUAAUGAGACAAUUGUGAUUACCAGCCAUGGUGAACAAUUUGAUAUGUAAAAAAUAAAUGUUUUGUCAUUUGGAUAUUCAUGAGUGAGAGUAUUUUAAUCACCACAAACUACAUUUUAAACCAGCCUUGGUUUAGCCACUCAUUUAAUUUUGCUGCACACUAUUUUAAUUUUGUACAGAACCAACAUUAUCAAAGCAAAAAUAAGCUAUAAUGAAUACAUAACAUAUUUAAAUGUAUCUCAUCUAGUUGAAGUGCUG
rnacentral:lncRNA from 1 species